rnacentral:lncRNA from 1 species
UGGGGAGGAGCCCCGCUAGACCUUCUCUUCACAAACAGAGAAGGACUGGUGGGAGAUGUGGUGGUCGGAAGCUGUGUUGGGCAGAGUGACCAGGAAAUGGUGGAGUUCUCUAUUCUUGGCAAGGCCAGGAAAGGGACCAGUAAAACCGCUGUAUUGGACUUCUGGAGGGCUGACUUUGAGCAGCUCAGGACACUGGUUGGUAGAGUCUGUUGGGAGGCGGUUCUGAAGGGCAGGGGAGUCCAGGAAGGCUGGGCACUCUUCAAGAAGGAAAUCUUAAUGGCGCUGGACCAGUCUGUUCCCACGUGCCCAAAGACAAGCCGGCGUGGAAGAAGACAGGCCUGGCUCAACAGAAAGUUGCAGCUUGAGUUUAGGAGAAAAAAGAGGGUUUAUAAUCUUUGGAAAAAAGGACGGGCCACUGAGGAGGACUAUAAGGAUAUUAGGAGGCUGUGCAGGGGCAGAAUUAGAAAGGGUAAAGCACAUCUGGAGCUCAAUUUGGAUACUGCCGUUAAAGACAACAAAAAAUCUUUUUACAAAUACAUCAAUGCAAAAUGGAGGACUAGGGAGAAUCUCCAUCCUUUACUGGAUGUGGGGGGAAACCUUGUUACAAAAGAUGAGGAAAAGGUGGAGGUGCUUAAUGCCUUCUUCGCCUCAGUCUUUAGCAGCAAUACCAGUUGUUCUCUGGAUACCCAGUACCCUGAGCUGGUGGAAGGGGAUGGGGAACAGAAUGUGGCCCUCACUAUCCAUGAGGAAAUGGUUGACGACCUACUAUGGCACUUGGUUGUGCGCAAGUCGAUGGGGCUGGAUGGGAUCCACCCGAGGGUACUGAGAGAACUGUCAGAGGAGCUGGCCAAGCCACUAUCCAUCAUUUAUCAGCAGUCCUGGCUAUCGGGGGAGGUCCCAGUUGACUGGCGACUAGCAAAUGUGACGCCCAUCUACAAGAAGGGCCAGAGGGCAGAGCCAGGGAACUAUAGGCCUGUUAGUUUGAACUCAGUGCCAAGGAAGCUCAUGGAGAAGAUUAUCUUGGGUGUCAUCACUC